GAUGAACGCUAGCGAUAGGCUUAACACAUGCAAGUCGAGGGACCGGCGCACGGGUGCGUAACGCGUAUGCAACUUGCCUCACAGAGGGGGAUAACCCGUCGAAAGACGGACUAAUACCGCGUACUGUGAGAUAGGCAUGCGUCCCAUUAGCUAGUUGGUGAGGUAACGGCUAACCAAGGCAACGUUGGGUAGGGGAACUGAGAGGUUGAACCCCCAGACUGGUACUAGGACACGGACCAGACUGCUACGGGAGGCAGGAGUAGGGAAUAUUGGUGAAUGGGCGAGGGCCUGAACCAGCCAAGUCGCGUGAAGGAGGACUGUGUAUGGAUUGUAAACUUCUUUUGUAGGGGAAUAUGUACCCUACGAAUAAGCAUCGGCUAACUCCGUGCCAGCAGCCGCGGUAAUUC
rnacentral:rRNA from 1 species